rnacentral:rRNA from 1 species
GACUGCCUGAUGGAGGGGGAUAACUACUGGAAACGGUAGCUAAUACCGCAUAACGUCGCAAGACCAAAGAGGGGGACCUUGGGCCUCUUGCCAUCGGAUGUGCCCAGAUGGGAUUAGCUAGUAGGUGGGGUAACGGCUCACCUAGGCGACGAUCCCUAGCUGGUCUGAGAGGAUGACCAGCCACACUGGAACUGAGACACGGUCCAG